UAGCCCGGAGAAAUUCGGAUUAAUACCCCAUAACAUUGCGAAGAGGCAUCUUUUUGCAAUUAAAGCUCCGGCGGUUAAAGAUGGGCAUGCGUGCCAUUAGCUAGUUGGUGAGGUAACGGCUCACCAAGGCUACGAUGGUUAGGGGGUCUGAGAGGAUGAUCCCCCACACUGGUACUGAGACACGGACCAGACUCCUACGGGAGGCAGCAGUGAGGAAUAUUGGGCAAUGGGCGCAAGCCUGACCCAGCCAUGCCGCGUGAAGGAUGAAUGCCCUAUGGGUUGUAAACUUCUUUUGUACGGGACGAAUCUCUCGAACGUGUUCGGGACUGACUGUACCGUACGAAUAAGCAUCGGCUAACUCCGUGCCAGCAGCCGCGGUAAUACGGAGGAUGCAAGCGUUAUCCGGAUUCAU
rnacentral:rRNA from 1 species